rnacentral:rRNA from 1 species
UGGGGAAUAUUGCACAAUGGGCGAAAGCCUGAUGCAGCGACGCCGCGUGAGGGAUGACGGCCUUCGGGUUGUAAACCUCUUUCAGUAGGGACGAAGCGCAAGUGACGGUACCUGCAGAAGAAGCACCGGCUAACUACGUGCCAGCAGCCGCGGUAAUACGUAGGGUGCGAGCGUUGUCCGGAAUUACUGGGCGUAAAGAGCUCGUAGGCGGUUUGUCACGUCGUCUGUGAAAUCCUAGAGCUUAACCCUGGACGUGGAGGCGAUAAGGGCUGACUUGAGUACUACAGGGGAGACUGGAAUUUCUGGUGUAGCGGUGGAAUGCACAGAUAUCAGGAAGAACACCGAUGGCGAAGGGAGGUCUCUGGGUAGUAACUGACGCUGAGGAGCGAAAGCAUGGGUAGCGAACAGG